AAUUGAUGAAAUUAGAAAGAACACGAAACAACAUCCUCUUCUUUGUUGAUCGUCUUAACGCAUCUCUCUUUAUCUUCUUCCUCAGUCGAUUCAUCUUCGACAGAUCUGUAAAUUUCUCUUAAUCGCAAUUUUAUUCAUCUAAACUCUCCAUCGAUCCGUUAUAGCAACCUGAUGAAAAAACAAAAAAAAAAAAAAAAAAAAAGAAGAUGCUUUCGGCUACUUAUGAUGGACGAUCGACUUGCAAUGAUUGGGUUUCAGCCGGAGAUUUUUCAAUUUGGUUAAUUCCUUCUACAAAUCGAUCAUGUGGAAAACAGUUGCGGGUAUCAAAUGUUAAAUCACAAUAAUACGAACGGUAUAACAUCUCGUAUUCCAGAUAAUCUGUAGCAUGAUAUACAAAGUUAUUUGAAAUGACUUAAUAUCUUACAAUCGAAUCCAGGGGGUUAUCGAUUGUAACAGAGAUAAAUAACAAUCAGAUAAGUACUUUGGACAUUGGUUAAUUUAUAAUAGCUAUAACUUAUUGCUUUUGUGAAUUGAAAUGCUGACUACGGUUGUUGUAUUCUUGUAGGCUAGCUGCUAAACAUCAAGUAAUUACACUUUAGAAAAGGCUGAGAAGAUUCAUCAUGAAAUAUUGUUCCAUGGAAAUGACGUUACCGGUAUACAGGACACGGACUUGCACUUUCCAUGAAGUCUUGAAAGGCUUCACAUCUCGGAGGAAAGCAUACGAAGAAGUCAUUGCAAGAGCCCGUUGAUAUUAGAGUCGAAGUCCAUCAAUUACGUACAUACCGGGUUAUAUGUGAAAGGACGUGGAUCCUUAUUACGACCGGGUCGGGGCUUGUUCGAUGCACUGAAAUGGGAUUACCUUAUGUUGAACAUAAUGUUAGGGGUAGAUCCUCACUCCAACAAAAGGUCCGGUCCAGAAAAGGUCCAAAUAAAUCUCAAGGGAAGGAGGGGUAUUUUGGUAUUUUCAUAGGACAAACCGACACAGUUACCCAUAAAUAUGGACGUACGACGUUCGAGAAAAUUGGUUGCACGAAAGAGGAAAGAAUACGGAGAAGAUGUACAAGUUCUCUCGUUCAAAGUCUUGAAUCGACGAGCUUGUAGCUCUUCUUUCGUCUUACAUUUCGUUAUUUCAGCUAGUCUGAUUUACUUUGUAGUCCGUUUUUUUGUGCCUCGACACCGAUUAAUAAAGAGAGUUUCGAUUUCCUUUUAA